rnacentral:misc_RNA from 1 species
GAUGAAGAACGUAGCGAAAUGCGAUACGUAGUGUGAAUUGCAGAAUUCAGUGAAUCAUCGAAUCUUUGAACGCACAUUGCACCUCUCGGUAUUCCGGGAGGUAUGCCUGUUCGAGCGUCAUUUGUACCCUCAAGCUCUGCUUGGUGUUGGUGUUUGUUCCGCCUCUGUGUGUGAACUCGCCUCAAAACAAUUGGCAGCCGGCGUACUUGUUUCGGAGCGCAGCACAUUUUGCGAUCCAGAUCAACGUACAGCGGCAUCCAAGAAGCCUUAUUUAACGCUCUUGACCUCGGAUCAGGUAGGGAUACCCGCUGAACUUAAGCAUAUCAAUAAGCGGAGGA